rnacentral:lncRNA from 1 species
CCACGAGCUCAAGCUGCCUCCCGGGCGUCCACGCGCUAGAAGCGGGGAUGCAGGAGGCGGCUCAGCCGGAAGAGCGCCUUGGGGAUCAGGAUUCCAGUGACACUUCCAGAGCGACGGGAAUGACGGAGCUGUCCCCACCAGAGGAGCUGGCUGGACCCACAGCUUCCGGGAUGGUGCGGUUCCCUGGCGGGGGGGCCCCUGGACUCUCAGGAGGUGAGACUCCGCAAUGACCCAGCAGGACGAUCCAGAGGGAGUUUUCAGGAAGGACCGGCUGUCUUGAAGUUUUGCUUACUGACUCCUGUGGAGUGUGUUUCAUCGCAGGCUCCCUGAUCUGCUGACUGUCAACGGUGUGAGUGACGUUGGCCGUUGGAGGGCGGGUUUCGCCACGGGAAAGACUCCAUCGUGAAGAAAAUCGAUUCAGGCGACGACACAGUGAGAAGAUGCCGUAGGAAGAGGGGUCUCACCCAGCACUGGCUGUGCUGAUGCCGUGGUCCUGGACGUCCAGCCUCCAGAGCUGAGGAAUCAAGAUCUGUUUACGCAGGGCACCCCGCCUACGGCCUUUCGGUUGGAGCAGCAGGAGCUGACUGCGACCCGGCUCCUAUCUCUCACUCCUUUCUCUCCUCCAUCUCUUCCCGCGCCCUCUUCUCCAGGCCCAGCUGGAGGCCGUGGGAAGGCAUGCAGGUCAGCCCCCAGGGGCGCAACGCAGGCUGCGUCUGGAGGGGGUAAAAAGCCCCCAUCACCAGGCUGCUGCUACAAAGCGACCUCUCAUCACAGUCUGGGGAGUGGCGGUCACGCACACCGCCGAACACCUGACCGCGCAGAGAGCUCUUUAGUUAGGCCCGUCUAAAGUGAAGGGAUGCGCGGGGGGAUUCUGAUACCCGCCUGGGGAGUCAGGGGCGGCUGCCCAUCCUCAGCAGGACUCAAGCUGAGGUUGAAGCGUAGGAAUAUGGACGACAUCAUUCAAGUGUGAAAAGUCGCCGCCGCCGCCGCCACCACCACCGAUGCAGUCGAAAACUUAGGUCUUAACUACAGUUCUGAGUGUGCUAGUUUACUGUCCUUUGUCAAUGCCAUGUGAAAUGAUGUGCUCGUGAACAAGAAAAGGACCAGAGAAAGGGAACUGGUGAGUUCAGAUAAGAUGUGAAGGUGCCUGGGUACACCAAGAAGUGGCAUUUUCGUAGAAUAAAGCAGCAAGUGCAUCAGAUGAUGAACUGGCUUGCAGUAAAUCAAUUAAACUAAAAUAAUUUUCACAUAAACAGAAGCUAAUGACAUAUUGCAAAUGUGAUGCAAGCGAAGAAACACAGAAUCUGAUAAAAGGAGGACUGUAAGUGUUACAGAAUACUCUAUUUUACCGUAAGUAUUACAAAAUACUGUAAGUACUUAGUCUGGGUUUCCACCAGCAAAAGCCAAAGAGAGUAAGAAACUGGAUGUUUGAACAGUAUCCUUCAGAUGUACAUUUUGCCAGAAUUCUGAAGGUGUCGUUUAAGUGACUUGGUAAGGAGAAAGUGUUUCAGAGGAAAAUAAAACAAAACAAAAACUUAGAAGGAUUUAUUCUAAGUUCAGAUGAUCCAAAGGGGUUAACACGUGGUUGUAACUCAUGCUCAAAUAAAAAAAAAUUAUCUUGCCUAAUGUUUGUGAAAGAUCCAGAAAAUAAACUUGUAGCAAGUCCA